UACGGAGGGUGCGAGCGUUGUCCGGAAUCACUGGGCGUAAAGGGCGCGUAGGCGGCCUGGUAAGUAGGGGGUGAAAUCCUGCGGCUUAACCGCAGGGCUGCCUUCUAAACUGUCAGGCUCGAGCACGGUAGAGGCAGAUGGAAUUCCCGGUGUAGCGGUGGAAUGCGUAGAGAUCGGGAAGAACAUCAGUGGCGAAGGCGGUCUGCUGGGCCGUUGCUGACGCUGAGACGCGAAAGCGUGGGGAGCAAACAGG
rnacentral:rRNA from 1 species